AGUGAACGCUGGCGGUAGGCCUAACACAUGCAAGUCGAACGGCAGCACAGUAAGAGCUUGCUCUUACGGGUGGCGAGUGGCGGACGGGUGAGGAAUACAUCGGAAUCUACUUUUUCGGGGGGGAUAACGUAGGGAAACUUACGCUAAUACCGCAUACGACCUACGGGUGAAAGCAGGGGAUCUUCGGACCUUGCGCGAUUGAAUGAGCCGAUGUCGGAUUAGCUAGUUGGCGGGGUAAAGGCCCACCAAGGCGACGAUCCGUAGCUGGUCUGAGAGGAUGAUAGGCCACACUGGAACUGAGACACGGUCCAGACUCCUACGGGAGGCAGCAGUGGGGAAUAUUGGACAAUGGGCGCAAGCCUGAUCCAGCCAUACCGCGUGGGUGAAGAAGGCCUUCGGGUUGUAAAGCCCUUUUGUUGGGAAAGAACAGCAGCAGGUUAAUACCCCGCUGUUCUGACGGUACCCAAAGAAUAAGCACCGGCUAACUUCGUG
rnacentral:rRNA from 1 species